AGGUAAAAAUAUUUUGGUAUGUUUGGCCACAUUUGUACUUUUUCAAAGUUCAGUGGUUUCCAGCUUCUUCAUUAUGAGGGGAUUACCAAGUUUACUCAUAUGGUGAUAUAUAUUUUGAUGAUGGAUGCUGACGCAGAACAAAUUGCACUCUUUGAUCUUCACGUAACAGAUAAAUGAAAACUUUUGCCGUAUCAAGAAGUCCAUCUGUAUCAUUCACCAGCACCUGAUGUUUAUUUACAAAGUACUGAGUGAGGAAUCUAAGAUUGUACCAUGGUCCAAGGUGAAGACAAAAUUAUAAGAAUUCCUGCACACACAAACAUAUUUUAACAAUCUCCACUCCACUCAUGAAUGAAACAUGAAGAAACUCCAAUAUGUGGGGAGUUGGAAGUAUCUUCUCACCAUACGUUUUACAGUUGUUUGUGCAGAGUUUGGUGGUUGUAGUGUUAUAGUCUCUAGUGUGUGGAUAUUUUUACAUUUUAUCCUUCCAUUAUAAUGAACUUUAUGUAUUUCUUGUGGUCAUAAACCUUCAUA